GUCAGGGCGAUCCCCCCGGAGUAACGUGUGUGCCUACGCAGUUUUGUUUUUGUUGAUUAGAAUUUUUUUUCCAUUCGGCCAUUCACAUUUUCUGUCCGAUUGCAUUUAUCGGACGUAUUAAACUUUUUCUUUCUUGUAAGACUUGUCUUUAGUUUUGUUGCUCUGCGAUGUUCGAGCAGACGAUCCGAAAUUUCAAAAUCAAUUUCAUCAGGCACGAUGGACGAAAUAGUUUUUCCAGUGGCGACCAAAUCAUAGGACACAUGUCUUUCGAUCUGACAAAGGAAACAAAGAUCACUUCAAUAACAAUGAGGCUGAAGGGAAACGCGAAUGUGCACCGGACCGCCGGAGGAGGUGGAGGGAAACGAGGAAACGUUACUCUGCAAGGCUGGACUUCUUCGACUUAAAAGGAGUUAUUUUGCAAGAAGACGGGGGUAUGCUGUUACUGGUGCUGUUUGGACGCAGUGAUACAUGGCAAACAAACAGUCACUGUCUUUGUCCUUUUCUUAUAGCUACUCGUGGGACAAAACUUCAACUCGGGACACAUGUGUAUCCGUUCACAUGUCAGCUCCCACUAUGUAUGACCAUUUAACUGUGAAACACCCACUAGCGUGUGAAGCGUUUUUUACUCAGGGAGGCAUGCUGACAAAAGUCUGUACCCCCUUCCUGAUUUCUUAGUUAGUUUUUUCAUCAAACAAAUUUUAAUAGACAAUGAUAACCUUUAAAAAAAUGCUAAAUGCAUUUCUAUUUGUUAAAUCAUGAAUGAACGGUGAAUAGCCAUGUUAUUUUGGCAAGCUGAGUUUAAAUUCACGAUAAGCACUCAGGCCUGAUUACUCCCAGAUGUGCUGAAUCAAGAAAUCACUUAAACAGAACCUGUCUGACAAAGUGAAGCAGGCUAAAAGAUUUAAAAACUAAGUCAUUCACAUCCUUCAUCUGCAAAUGAAAAGCACAGGUGUCGAACUCCAGGCCUCGAGAGCCGGUGUCCUGCAGGUUUUAGAUGUGUCCUUGAGCCAUCACAGCUGAUUUAAAUGGCUAAAUGACCUCCUCAACAUGUCUUGAAGUUCUCCAGAGGCCUGGUAAUGAACUAAUUAUUGUAUUCAGGUGUGUUGACCGAGGGUGAUAUCAAAAACCUGCAGGACACCGACCCUCGAGGCCUGGGUUUUGACACCCCUGUAUCAGAGCCAUGCCCUCAUGGGGACGCAUGAAUGCUGAAUGCUGCUCUCUACCAUGAAAUCCUAAAGAAAAGUGAUCCAAAACACACCAGCCAGUUCAUCUCUGAAUGAUUCAAAGAACCCCAAACCAAAUAAAAAAACCCACACAAAAUGAAGGAGUCCUGACCCAAAUUUGAUUGAGAUGCUUUGGCAUGACCUUAAUCAGGCUGCUCAUGCUUGAAAACCCUCCAGUGUGGCUGAAUAAAAAUAAUUCUGCAAAGAAAGUUGGGACAAAAUUCCUCUACCGCAGUGUGAAAAACUCAUUGCCAGUUAUUGCAAAAAGCUUGAUUGCAGUUCUUGUUGCUAAGGGUGGCACAACUGGUUAUUAAGGUUUAAGUGACUUUUUCACAUAGGGCCAGGUAGGUUUGAAUAGCUUUUUUCCCCCCUUAGAUCUUCAUUAAAACUGCAUUUUGUAUUUACUUGAGUUAUAUUUGUCUGCUAUUACAUUUGAUUCCGGAUUUGAAAAAUGCAAGUGUGACAAAUAUGCAAAAAGCUAAGAAAUCAGGAACUUCAGAUUUGACUUAAGUAAAGAGCCACUGUUAAAAAUGAAGGAAUUUUGGUAGAUGUAAGUAAAGAAUGGGCCCUUGGUUUUUAAAAACCAAAACCUACAACUUGUGUUGUACUUCAACCUUUUGAUUCAUUAACAUAAUGCUUGCUUUUAUUGUUUAUUGUAAAACUGUUGAAUCUGUAUGCGCCUGAAUCACUUUUUUUCUAUCUUUUCUAUUAUUUUGCAUCACAGAAACUUCCCAUCGUCCUUUCAUGGGGUUCACGGAAAAAUAGCAUAUACCUUGACAGUGGGCAUUAAUAGACCGUGGCAUAUGUCCAAGGACUUUGUGACAGAGCUUAACUUUGUAAACCACAUUGACACCAACCAGCCAGGGUUGAAUGCGCCACUCUCAGGUUCAAACAGCGUGACACCGUGUAGCUUGUGAUGUAACUCUAGUCCCGUCACUAUGACAGUCAGUGUAGCGAAGAAAGCUUUCACCCCUGGUGAAACAGUGAAAAUAUUUUGUGAAUUUAAUAACCCUUCAUCUAAAACAGCUACUCCGAAGGUGAAGCUGCAACAGAAACAGACUUUCUACACCCACAGUAAGCACAACAGGAAGAUGGUUAUCAAAAAUUUGGCGUAUGUGACAGGAGAACCUGUUGGUGCUCAGGCUACUUAUGUACGCACUGAGAUCAUGCUCGCUAUUCCCUCGUCUGCAUCUUUAACCAUCUCAGAUUGCAGCAUCCUGGUUGUUGAUUACAUUAUUGAGGUUAAACUCCACGUUGGAGCAUUGGAUGAGGUCGUUGUGCUGUUUCCAAUCAUCCUGUGUGAUACCCCUGUGCAAACUUAUCCCCCAGUAUGAUUCAACACAAGGUGUUUUUGGGGAUCCAUAUGGAGCCACUGCUCUUCCUACAUGUGUUACUGUUCAUAUGCCAUUCAUAUGUUGAUGACGUGCAGUUGUACAUGUUAAUUUCCUCUGAUGACCUCAAUGCAUCUUUCAUUUUAUCUUAACCCUUUUGUUUUUUACCUGUUUACCUUUUUACUUUAAAUGACUCUAACUUAGAUACUGUUUGUGCUAGAGACAAAUUGUGAACAGUUUACAGUUUCUUUUAGUCUGCUUCACAGUUUACUGAUAUCUGGUGUAUUGUUAAUGAUACACCAGAUAUCCCUGUAAAGUGGGAUAUCUGGUGUAUCGUUGAAGCACAAAGCAUUCACAAGCUACUGCUGUCUGAACACAGACAGAAAAAUCAGCUCUGCCUAGAUCUUAUCGUGUGCUGAUGAUGUUUGAUGAAUGGUUAAUGAAGAUGAUACAGCCUAUCACCAUUUUUAGUAGGCAUAAAUAAUAAUAGGCUGCUUAGCUGUAGGUUCAAGACCCCUGACAUGCAUCCAAAAUGGGGAAUUUAUAUCUUAUACAGAGUCUCAGGAAGUGGUUGAUGCAUUCAUCUCAGUUUGGAUAUUAAAAACCAGUACAGUGACUUUAUAUUAUUAUCAGAGCCCGAGUUUGCACAAACACAGAAAUCUGGACAUUUGAAUAUCUGGUGACUACAAUGGCAUCCAGUAGAUUGCAGUAAUACACUCAAAAUCCUUUUAAUAGUCAAUAGAGCGCCUUUAUGCUUGUCCUCUUAGUCCGGCGAUGACUUACUCAUUUAUUAAAUCCCACUAAGGCCUCUAAGGUCAUCAGGCAGAGGUCUUGUAACAACACUCAGAAUAAGAUCCAAAUCGGGUGCAGGUGGCUUCAGUAACUGUGGUCCUACUCGCUCUUACAGAACUUCAAAUAUAUUCCCACACCUGUGUCAGAAGACUGUGUAUAUUUGUAUGCUUUUAUGUGUGUGUAUGUGUGUUUACUGAUGCUUCUUGUACAGUUUAUUACAUGUGUGUUAUGUGUUUUGAGUGUUAUGUUUGAUGUACAUCAGGUUUAUGCUUUAUUAUCUCAAAUUCCACUUUUUUUUAAUCAUGCCUACAGCCGUCUGUUACCAAUUUUCACAUGUUAUUGUGAAUGUAUUUGUGUAAGAUGUGCUGUACUGCAAAGCUGCCAUGGUGCGCCUUGGCUAGACGUGAUGUCAUGAGUUACAGCGAAUAUCACUGCAUUCGGGUGAAGGUCAAUAAGUGUUGGCGUAAGUUUAAUAAAAUCCUUGACCUUUCCAUCUCGGAGAAAAUAUGUGAUGGCUGUCAGAAGUUUAAUAAAUCAUACUACGGAGUUUCUAACACUAAAUUUUCAUGGAGAGAGCCAGUAUAAACUGCAAGACUGGAGGAGAAUAGCCAGGUAAAGGAUGUUAAAACUGGAAAGUCUUAGAACUGGAAAUCUUUCUUUCUAUCUACAUGAUGUGAAUAGUCUGUGGCGAAGUUUUUCAUCAUAGUGACUGAAGAAAAAGGAGACUUGUGUAACAGUGUCUUAGUCCAGUUUUGGACAAAUUAUCAAAUUUAUAAAUGUACAUAUACACAAAAUAUUCUGGCAUGCUGCAUGUUAUAUUGUCAUCAUAUGCAUUUCGACUGUUUAUAAAAAUAAAAACAAUUAGUAGAAUACAUA